rfam:Ictidomys tridecemlineatus contig093928, whole genome shotgun sequence.
GGGGUUGUGGCUCAGUGGUAGAGCGCUCACCUAGUGCAUGUGAGGCCCUGGGUUUGAUCCUCAGCAACACAU